rnacentral:rRNA from 1 species
ACGCUGGCGGCAGGCCUAACACAUGCAAGUCGAGCGGAAACGAGUUAUCUGAACCUUCGGGGAACGAUAACGGCGUCGAGCGGCGGACGGGUGAGUAAUGCCUAGGAAAUUGCCCUGAUGUGGGGGAUAACCAUUGGAAACGAUGGCUAAUACCGCAUAAUACCUUCGGGUCAAAGAGGGGGACCUUCGGGCCUCUCGCGUCAGGAUAUGCCUAGGUGGGAUUAGCUAGUUGGUGAGGUAAUGGCUCACCAAGGCGACGAUCCCUAGCUGGUCUGAGAGGAUGAUCAGCCACACUGGAACUGAGACACGGUCCAGACUCCUACGGGAGGCAGCAGUGGGGAAUAUUGCACAAUGGGCGCAAGCCUGAUGCAGCCAUGCCGCGUGUGUGAAGAAGGCCUUCGGGUUGUAAAGCACUUUCAGUCGUGAGGAAGGUAGUGUAGUUAAUAGCUGCAUUAUUUGACGUUAGCGACAGAAGAAGCACCGGCUAACUCCGUGCCAGCAGCCGCGGUAAUACGGAGGGUGCGAGCGUUAAUCGGAAUUACUGGGCGUAAAGCGCAUGCAGGUGGUUUGUUAAGUCAGAUGUGAAAGCCCGGGGCUCAACCUCGGAAUAGCAUUUGAAACUGGCAGACUAGAGUACUGUAGAGGGGGGUAGAAUUUCAGGUGUAGCGGUGAAAUGCGUAGAGAUCUGAAGGAAUACCGGUGGCGAAGGCGGCCCCCUGGACA